rnacentral:rRNA from 1 species
GACGAACGCUGGCGGCGUGCUUAACACAUGCAAGUCGAACGGAAAGGCCCUGCUUUUGUGGGGUGCUCGAGUGGCGAACGGGUGAGUAACACGUGAGUAACCUGCCCUUGACUUUGGGAUAACUUCAGGAAACUGGGGCUCAUACCGGAUAUGAUCUCCUGCUGCGUGGUGGUGGUUGGAAAGUUUCGGCGGUUGGGGAUGGACUCGCGGCUUAUCAGCUUGUUUGUGGGGUAGUGGCUUACCAAGGCUUUGACGGGUAGCCGGCCUGAGAGGGUGACCGGCGACAUUGGGACUGAGAUAGGGCCCAGACUGCUACGGGAGGCAGCAGUGGGGAAUAUUGCACAAUGGGCGGAAGCCUGAUGCAGAAACGCCGCGUGCGGGAUGACGGGCUUCGGGUUGUAAACCGCUUUCGACUGUGACGAAGAGUGAGUGACGGUAAUGGGUAAAGAAGCACCGGCUAACUACGUG